rnacentral:rRNA from 1 species
CAACUUGAGAGUUUGAUCCUGGCUCAGAACGAACGCUGGCGGCAUGCUUAACACAUGCAAGU